UUGCCGACCCCACCCAUGCCAA
rnacentral:miRNA from 2 species